CCUACGGGAGGCAGCAGUGGGGAAUAUUGCACAAUGGGGGAAACCCUGAUGCAGCGACGCCGCGUGAGUGACGAAGUAUUUCGGUACGUAAAGCUCUAUCAGCAGGGAAGAAAAUGACGGUACCUGACUAAGAAGCCCCGGCUACCUGCGUGCCAGCAGCCGCGGUAAUACGUAGGGGGCGAGCGUUAUCCGGAUUUAAUGGGGGUAACGGGAGCGUAGACGGCAGCGCAAGUCUGGAGUGAAAUCCCAUGGCUUAACCAUGGAACUGCGUUGGAAACUGUGCAGCUGGAGUGCAUGAGAGGUAAGCGGAAUGCCUAGGGUAGCGGUGAAAUGCGUAGAUAUUAGGAGGAACACCAGUGGCGAAGGCGGCUUACGGGACUGUAACUGACGUUGAGGCGCGAAAGCGUGGGGAGCAAACAGGAUUAGAUACCCGAGUAGUC
rnacentral:rRNA from 1 species